rnacentral:rRNA from 1 species
GUCCCCCACACUCGAUGUGAGACACGGACCAGACUCCUACGGGAGGCAGCAGUGAGGAAUAUUGGUCAAUGGGAGAGAUCCUGAACCAGCCAAGCCGCGUGAGGGAAGACGGCCCUAUGGGUUGUAAACCUCUUUUGUCGGAGAACAAAACCCGGGACGAGUCCCGGACUGCGUGUAUCCGAAGAAAAAGCAUCGGCUAACUCCGUGCCAGCAGCCGCGGUAAUACGGAGGAUGCGAGCGUUAUCCGGAUUUAUUGGGUUUAAAGGGCGCGUAGGCGGUCUGUUAAGUCAGCGGUAAAAUUGCGGGGCUCAACCCCGUCGAGCCGUUGAAACUGGCAGACUUGAGUUGGCGAGAAGUACGCGGAAUGCGCGGUGUAGCGGUGAAAUGCAUAGAUAUCGCGCAGAACUCCGAUUGCGAAGGCAGCGUACCGGCGCCAGACUGACGCUGAGGCACGAAAGCGUGGGGAUCGAACAGGAUUAGAUACCCUGGUAGUCCACGCAGUAAACGAUGAAUGCUGGUUGUCCGGGUCGAAUGAGACCUGG